GUUGACUCUGUGGUUGAGACAAUAUACAAAUCCUAGCCCUCUGUUUUCUUCUGCAGACUCCUCCUCUGUAUCUUCCCACGUGAUACAUACUUUUUCUGUGUUCCCUAAUAUAACACUUCUCAGUUUAAAACAAAACUCAAAAUACCCUCUAUACAGCUGAAUUUUUACCAAAAUGAUAACCAAGCACCUUUUAUUGGCUCAUUCUACAUAAUAAUACACUUCCUCUGCUUCGACCCAGCAGAUUGUCCUCUGGCCAGUUCUUCUCUGGAGACUGUGGGGGAGAUGGCCACUCAGCUGGGACCACCAGGGGAGGCUCACAUGGAAGUUGGCAUUGGAAGUGGAUCAUGUAGGAGGUGCAUCAGUUCCUGCCUGGUGGUACGUGAUUGUACCCUAACUCACAGAGCAGCAUCCCUUUGCUUCUGCACCAGGAUGCUGUUCUACAGCUGGUCCAUAUCACAGAUCACCAGAAUGAGGAGGGGCACUCCUGGAGCCCCCUACACAACUCAGCAUCCUGGUGGCGAGGAAGAGCAUGGGAUCUGGGUGGACCACAUGGACUCCCCUCAGGCUUCAUCUUCACAAACCGAAUGACCUCUGGCAAGGGACUUACCCUCAGUUCUGCUUCUGUAAACUGCAGAUUUACCCCCAUAGGUCUAAUGUGAAAUUAGACGAAAAAAGCCUUUAAUUGUAAAGUGUUUGCACUAGUCCCUGGCAUGAAGUGCUCAAAAGUUGGUGAAGCUAAAGGAGAGUGGAGGGGUGGUGACCCAGGGAAAGAAGGAUGGAACGGAGUGCAUUCAAACCCCUCCACCAAUAUUCUGCAUCCGGGCAUUCCCAUGGCACCUACUACACACUGCUCUUAGCACUUCUAUGGUUAGACACCGCCCUCUCAAUGACCCCAUGAAAUGGGUGCUCUCUCUAUCUCCACAUCAAAGAUGAGAAGUCAGGCUCAGAGAGGUUGAGUGGGCAGUCCAAGGUCACACUGGCCAACAGGCGGUCAAGGGGAAGUAUGCCUUGGCUGGCUGGCUCCAGAGUCCCCAUUCUCAACCACUCCCCGCUCCCUAGGCCAUGUGAACUAAACACUUAAUCCUCCCAGCAACCCCAUGAGCUGGGCACCAGUAUGGUCUCCAGUGUGUGCGUGAAGAAAUUGAAGCAGGAAGAGGUUAACUGGUUUCAAGGUAGAGAAAACUUCACCUGAACUUAAUAUUACGGAUGCUUAGCAGCACCAGCAAUAAGAAGGAUCAGCACAUGCUGUGAUGCCUUAUGUACCAGGCACUGUCCUAACCACCGUGUCUAUCGUAGAUACAUUAACUUGCUGCAUCUUUUCAAUUACUCCAUGGCACGGAUUCUAUUAUGACUUUACCUGUUGCCUGAGGCCAAGCAUAAACAUCAGAAAUGGCUGCUGUAGGUGAGACAGGUGGUGAGGGGCAGAACAGAGACUCCACCCCAGGACAGGUUGGCUUCAGACCCUCCCUCGAAACCCCUGUGCUGUGCACAAACACACACACACACACACACGCACACACACACACACAUACACACACAUAAUCACACAAGAUACAAUAUUGAGCUAUGUUGUUAACUGCUAUUCUAUAUGUUAAAAGUCAAAUCAUUGGGCACCUGGGUGGCUCAGUCAGUGAAGCGUCUGCCUUCGGCUCAGGUCAUGAUCUCAGGGUCCCGGGAUCAAGCCCCAUGUUGGGCUCCCUGCUCAACGGAGAGUCUGCCUCUCCCUCUCCCUCUGCCCCUCCCCUUGCUCGUGUUCUCUCUCUCUCUCAAAUAAAUAAAUAAAAUCUUUUUUAAGAAAGGUAAAU
rnacentral:lncRNA from 1 species